rnacentral:rRNA from 1 species
GUGCCAGCCGCCGCGGUAAUACGGGGGGGGCAAGCGUUGUUCGGAAUUACUGGGCGUAAAGGGUGCGUAGGCGGUCCGCUAAGUUAGAUGUGAAAACUCUGGGCUUAACCCAGAGCCUGCAUCUAAUACUGACGGGCUAGAGUUCUGGAGGGGAUAGCGGAAUUCCUGGUGUAGCGGUGAAAUGCGUAGAUAUCAGGAGGAACACCGGUGGCGAAGGCGGCUAUCUGGACAGAGUCUGACGCUGAGGCACGAAAGCUAGGGGAGCAAACAGGAUUAGAUACCCUGGUAGUCC